CCUUCGAUAGCUCAGUUGGUAGAGCGGUGGACUGUAGUUGGGAAGAUCUGAUAUAGGCAUCCAUAGGUCGCUGGUUCGAAUCCGGCUCGAAGGA
rnacentral:tRNA from 1 species